ACGCUCGACACCUACGGAAGGCAGCAGUAGGGAAUCUUCCACAAUGGACGCAAGUCUGAUGGAGCAACGCCGCGUGAGUGAAGAAGGUCUUCGGAUCGUAAAACUCUGUUGUUAGAGAAGAACACGAGUGAGAGUAACUGUUCAUUCGAUGACGGUAUCUAACCAGCAAGUCACGGCUAACUACGUGCCAGCACGCCGAGUAUCNGNGGCGGNGUGACGAGC
rnacentral:rRNA from 1 species